rnacentral:tRNA from 1 species
GCGGGAAUAGCUUAGUUGGUUAGAGCAUCAACCUUCCAAGUUGAAUGUCGCUGGUUCGAGCCCAGUUUCCCGCU